rnacentral:lncRNA from 1 species
AUUUUCCUUUUGCUUCCUUGGAAUUUUCUUUCUCCUUCUUCUUCUUCAUUCUUCGAUCUCAGUUCUAACAUCAUGGCUAGAACCUCUCCACGAGGGAGUCGGUCGGGGAACCCGACCGACGAUUCUCGAUCGACCCCAGAGAUGGAGGUCUCUUCACUUUCAGAGUCGAACGUCGAUCGGCUCCGGGAGUAGUACAGCAUCCCGAAGCAGUUUCGGCUG